rnacentral:rRNA from 1 species
UGAGUAACGCGUGGGUAACCUACCCCAAAGUCCGGGAUAACAGCGGGAAACCGCUGCUAAUACCGGAUGUCUUUACCUUGGGGCAUCUUGAGGUAAAGAAAGGUAACGCUUUGGGAUGGGCCCGCGUCCCAUUAGCUAGUUGGUGAGGUAACGGCUCACCAAGGCGACGAUGGGUAGCCGGCCUGAGAGGGUGGACGGCCACACUGGGACUGAGACACGGCCCAGACUCCUACGGGAGGCAGUAGUAGGGAAUAUUGCGCAAUGGACGGAAGUCUGACGCAGCGACGCCGCGUGAGCGAUGAAGGUCUUCGGAUCGUAAAGCUCUGUCCUUGGGGAAGAAGGCGAAAGCUUGACGGUACCCAAGAAGAAAGCCCCGGCUAACUACGUGCCAGCAGCCGCGGUAAUACGUAGGGGGCGAGCGUUGUCCGGAAUUACUGGGCGUAAAGGGUGCGUAGGCGGCCCUUUAAGUCGGAUGUGAA